rnacentral:rRNA from 1 species
UCCAGACUCCUACGGGAGGCAGCAGUGGGGAAUAUUGGGCAAUGGAGGGAACUCUGACCCAGCAACGCCGCGUGAAGGAUGAAGGUUUUCGGAUUGUAAACUUCUGUCGCGAGGGAUGAAGAAUGACGGUACCUCGUAAGAAAGCCCCGGCUAACUACGUGCCAGCAGCCGCGGUAAUACGUAGGGGGCAAGCGUUAUCCGGAAUUACUGGGUGUAAAGGGAGCGUAGACGGUUAAGUAAGUCUGGAGUGAAAGGCCGGGGCCCAACCCCGGGACUGCUCUGGAAACUAUUGAACUUGAGUGCAGGAGAGGUAAGCGGAAUUCCUAGUGUAGCGGUGAAAUGCGUAGAUAUUAGGAGGAACACCAGUGGCGAAGGCGGCUUACUGGACUGUAACUGACGUUGAGGCUCGAAAGCGUGGGGAGCAAACAGGAUUAGAUACCCGUGUAA